CACACAAAUGUUUAUCUGAAAAUCAGUAGUGGGGAUAGGAAUUUCUUCUCUUUUGUCGCAAGGGCGCCAGGGGCUGCCUGCGUACUAUAUGAAACUUUUCUUUCACGAAAAAUGUCAACAACAACGUUUACGUCAACAGAUCAUCGAGGAAUAGAUUCUUCUGCGGUCGGAUGAGUAUCGUCCGAUGAUAUGUCGUCGAAUAAUUCGAUUCAUCGUCCGAUUCAUAUGCGACAAUAACUUAUAAAGGCUCAAAAAUACUUUGUUACAAAGUUAUAAAAAAGAACAAAAAGAAAAUAGGAAACAACGAAUAGGUUUUCAUUCGAUUAUACGUAUUAUAAAACAUUAGUUAUAUUUAUCUGAUCUAUUUACACAAGGUAUACUUAGGUGUUUUGUACUAAAGUUGAUUCAAUCCCCUCCUUUUUUCUUUUUUUUUUUUUUUUCUUUUUUCAAA